GUCCACGCUGUAAACGUUGGGCACUAGGUGUGGGGGGUAUUGACCCCCUCCGUGCCGUAGCUAACGCGAUAAGUGCCCCGCCUGGGGAGUACGGCCGCAAGGCUAAAACUCAAAGGAAUUGACGGGGGCCCGCACAAGCAGCGGAGCGUGUGGUUUAAUUCGAUGCUACGCGAAGAACCUUACCAGGGUUUGACAUGCUGGUAGUACUGAGCCGAAAGGCAAGGGACCCUUCGGGGAGCCAGCACAGGUGUUGCAUGGCUGUCGU
rnacentral:rRNA from 1 species